GGUGGCUGAGUGGUGAAGUGUUUGGCUGCUAACCAAAAUGUAGGGAGUUCAAAUCCACCAGCCA
rnacentral:tRNA from 1 species